CGUGCCAUGCUCUACUAUCGGUGUCUCAGUGCAUGCUCCUUUUGCGAAGCCUUGAUUCCGAGUGGAAAAAGUGGCAAGAAGAAAAAGCGCAAAGAGAGCACCCUGACUUUAUGGAGAACAGAGCUGAAUGGCCCUUUCAAAUAUUUGUGGAUUGAGAUUCCUGCCCUAUCAAUUGCUUAAUUGCCGAGGUCAUAAUUGGCGAUUGAAAACAGGUGCAGUUAGAGGGAGUGAAGUGCAUACCACCACCGUAAGAGUGCUGAGUCCGUCCCGCUGUACGUGGAUCGUGGUGGCCUGCCCCUCGGCGAUGGCGAUCUGAAAUUAUGAAAUUGAUAAUUAUAAUAAAUUUUGUGUGCAAUGGGA